GAGCUCUCUGCCCUCCUGCAGGGUUGCACUCUGCAAGGUUCUAUUGCAGGUUUCAGCUGCCUUUCCCCUGAAGGAAGUCCAGGUUCCGAUGGGAGCUGAUGAUCCCUCCAAAUUACCAAGCACGGUUGUCUGAUGUGCCUUUAUUGCAGAGAUUCUCUUCACUUUUCCAGUGCGCUUGUUUUCAUCAGGGGGCCUGAGAGAGGCCCUCUCUAUGUUGUUCACUUCUGCAGACAAGUGUACAUCUUGGAAAAGCUGCCCCUCAAAGAAGCACUCUGAAAUGUUCACAUUCAAGCUUUUUCUCAUGUCAAAAGAGAUCCUUGAAUCUUGACUCCAGGAAAUGCACUGGGGCACAG
rnacentral:lncRNA from 1 species